rnacentral:rRNA from 1 species
AGAGUUUGAUCCUGGCUCAGGAUGAACGCUAGCUACAGGCUUAACACAUGCAAGUCGAGGGGCAACAUGUUGGUUGCUUGCAACCAACGAUGGCGACCGGCGCACGGGUGAGUAACGCGUAUCCAACCUACCCUUGUCCAUCGGAUAACCCGUCGAAAGGCGGCCUAACACGAUAUGCGGUUCACAGCAGGCAUCUAACGUGAACGAAAUGUAAAGGAGAAGGAUGGGGAUGCGUCUGAUUAGCUUGUUGGCGGGGUAACGGCCACCAAGGCGACGAUCAGUAGGGGUUCUGAGAGGAAGGUCCCCCANAUUGGAACUGAGACACGGUCCAAACUCCUACGGAGGCA